AUGCAGAGGCCAGGGAGUCCCCAUUUCGAGGAAAAAAAAAUUCAUCGCCGCCGCGGGCCAACUCCAUCGUCCUCCCCAUCCCCAUCCCAUCCACCACCUCUUAAAACCUCGGCCGCCCACCCCCCACAUCUCGCCAGCCAAAACCGACUCCGCACCGGCACGUACCGACAUCAACGCGGGCGCGCUCCCUUGCUCCGGGCAAUGGCCCUCCUCCUCCUCCUCGCCUACGCCGCGCUCGCCGUGGCGGCGCUCUCGCACAGGUCCGCGCUCCACGCGCUGCGCCGCCUGUGGCGCUGGGCCGACGACCAAACGCAGGCGUACCAGCUCCACCAGGUGCCGCGCAGGCUCCCUGGUGCUGAGGGAGUCCACCGGGAGAACCCGCUGUUCCUCAAGGCCGCGGCGUACGUCUCCUCGCUGCCGUCGCUCGAGGACGCCGACGCCGUCUCCGUGCUCUCCUCCUCCGCCAACAAGACCCACGGCGGCUUCUCGCUCCGCCUCGGCCCCGGCCACACCGCGCGCGACGCCUUCCUCGGCGCGCGCCUCGCGUGGACCUGCCUGGCCCGCGAGGACGGCGAGGAAGCGCUCGUGCUGCGCGUGCGCCGGCACGACCGGGCCCGCGUGCUCCGGCCCUACCUGCAGCACGUCGAGUCCGUGGCCGACGACAUGGAGCUACGAAGGCGGGAGUUGAGGCUCUUCGUCAACGUGCGCGGCGGCGUCGACGGGGCGCCGAGGUGGGCGUCGGCGCCGUUCGCGCACCCUGCCACGCUCGACGCGGUGGCCAUGGACCCGGACCUCAAGGCGCGCGUCCGCGCUGACCUGGAGAGCUUCGCCAAGGGCCGCGCCUACUAUCACCGGCUCGGCCGCGUCUGGCGCCGGAGCUACCUGCUCCACGGCCCGCCCGGCACCGGCAAGUCCACCUUCGCGGCGGCCAUGGCGCGCUUCCUCGGCUACGACGUGUACGACGUGGACCUGUCCCGCGCCGACGUCGACCUCCGCGCGCUGCUCAUGCAUACCACCCCGCGCUCCCUCAUCCUCCUCGAGGACCUCGACCGCCACCUGCAGCUCCAAGACCACGGCGCGGAGGCGCGGGUGCUGAGCUUCAUGGACGGCGUGGCCUCGUGCUGCGGCGAGGAGCGGGUGAUGGUGUUCACCAUGCGGGGCGUCGCGCCCUUGCCCGCGGCGGUGGCGCGGCCGGGGCGGCUGGACGUGCACGUCCGGUUCACGCUCUGCGACUUCGAGGCCUUCAAGGCGCUGGCCGGCAGCUACCUAGGGCUGACAGACCACAAGCUGUUCCCGCAGGUGGAGGAGGGGUUCCAAGCCGCCGGCGAGCGUCGCCCCAGCCCCGCCGAGCUUGGCGAGAUCAUGCUCGCCAACCGCGCGUCCUCGAGCCGCGCGCUCCGCACCGUCAUCACGAGGCUCCAGCACGAGCGCGCGUCGGAAGGCUCGGCCGCGCCGACAACGGCGCCGCCGCGGAUGCCGCACAGAAGGAUCACGAGCUGGUCCGGGGCCGGGCAGUGGGACGGCGGGGCGGAGGAGGAUGCGGGGACGACGGCGUGCGCGGGCGGCGGGGUGUUGGGCAAGGACGCGGCGCCGAUGCGGGAGCUGAAGAAGCUGUACGGGCUGAUCAAGACGAGGAGCCGGAAGGAUGGCCCCGGGGUCGCGCCGUCGGAGGAAGGCGAGGCGACGGCGGCGGUGAGCGGACGCUGGUCCGGGUCCGGCAGCAACCACGGCAUGGAGCGGUGA
rnacentral:rRNA from 1 species